CCUACGCUGGCUGCAGUGGGGAAUAUUGGGCAAUGGGCGCAAGCCUGACCCAGCAACGCCGCGUGAAGGAAGAAGGCUUUCGGGUUGUAAACUUCUUUUGUCAGGGAAGAGUAGAAGACGGUACCUGACGAAUAAGCCACGGCUAACUACGUGCCAGCAGCCGCGGUAAUACGUAGGUGGCAAGCGUUGUCCGGAUUUACUGGGUUUAAAGGGUGCGUAGGCGGAAUGCCAAGUCAGCGGUAAAAUCGCGGGGCUCAACCUCGCUCCGCCGUUGAAACUGGCGUUCUUGAGUGGGCGAGAAGUAUGCGGAAGGCGUGGUGUAGCGGUGAAAUGCAUAGAUAUCACGCAGAACUCCGAUUGCGAAGGCAGCAUACCGGCGCCCAACUGACGCUGAAGCACGAAAGCGUGGGUAUCGAACAGGAGUAGAUACCCUUGUAGUC
rnacentral:rRNA from 1 species